UCCGCGCGCCGUCAGCGGCGCGGGCGGGGCAUUGCCAGCUCGGCGUCCCGGUUCCCUUGGAGACAGAGCCGGCCAGGGCGGCCGCGGCUGGGCAACUACGACAGCGGAGCCCCUGGGGAAGCCAAGAUGCCGUCGAAGGGAAAGGACAAAAAGAAAGGCAAGAGCAAAGGCAAAGACACGAAGAAGUUAAUAAAAACAGAUGAAUCUGUGGUGGACAGAGCCAAGGCCAAUGCCUCCCUUUGGGAGGCCAGGUUGGAAGUCACAGAACUCUCUAGGAUUAAGUAUCGUGAUACUUCACGGAUACUGGCAAAAAGUAAUGAGGACUUAAAGAAAAAGCAAUGUAAAAUGGAGAAAGACAUAAUGUCAGUAUUAAGUUACCUGAAGAAGCAGGAUCAGGAGAAAGAUAAUAUGAUUGAAAAACUGAAACAGCAAUUAAAUGAAACAAAGGAAAAAGCCCAAGAGGAGAAGGAUAAAUUGGAACAAAAGUAUACCAGGCAAAUUAAUGAACUAGAGGGACAGUUCCAUCAAAAAGCCAAAGAAAUUGGCAUGAUUCACACAGAGCUGAAAGCAGUAAGACAAUUCCAGAAGAGAAAAAUCCAAGUGGAGAGAGAGUUAGAUGAUCUGAAAGAGAAUUUAAGAAACACAGAGCGGAUACAUCAGGAGACUCUUAGAAGACUGGAAAGCAGAUUUUUUGAAGAAAAGCACCGACUAGAACAAGAGGCUGAAAAGAAGAUAAUAAUGCUAGCAGAGAGAGCCCACCAUGAGGCUAUUGUGCAAUUGAACGAUGCUGGAAGAAAUGUUUUUAAAGAGAAUGUUUAUCUCCAGAAAGCUCUGGCAUAUCACCUGAAGGAAACUGACGCUCUACAAAAAAACUCCCAGAAGUUGCAAGAGAGUCAUACUUUACUUUUACAUCAAAAGGAGAUCAAUGAUCUGUUGGUUAAGGAAAAGAUUAUGCAACUUGUCCAGCAGAGAUCACAAAUCCAAACCCUUCAGAAGAAGGUAGUAAACUUGGAGACUGCUCUGAGUUACAUGACCAAAGAGUUUGAGAGUGAAGUUUUAAAACUGCAGCAACACGCAAUGAUAGAGAACCAAGCAGGUCAGGUAGAAAUUGACAAGCUGCAGCACCUUCUUCAGAUGAAGGACAGGGAAAUGAAUCGUGUGAAGAAGCUGGCCAAGAACAUACUGGAUGAGAGAACAGAAGUGGAAAGAUUCUUUUUAGAUGCUCUGCACCAAGUGAAGCAACAGAUCCUAAUUAGCAGGAAGCAUUAUAAGCAGAUAGCACAAGCUGCUUUCAAUUUAAAAAUGAGAGCAGCAUGUACAGGAAGAACAGAAUAUCCCAAAAUCAGAACAUUUGAUGGCAGAGAGCACAGCACCAAUAGUGUGAAUCAGGAUCUUCUGGAGGCCGAAAAAUGGCUGGAGCACAGUGGCGCGAUCUCAGCUUACUGCAGCCUCCGCCUCCUGGGUUCAAGCGAUUCUCCUGCCUCAGCCUCCCGAGUAGCUGGGAUUACAGACAGCUGCCACCAUGCCCGGCUAAUUUUUGUAUUUUUAGUAGAGACGAGUUUUCAUCACAUUGUCCAGGCUGGUCUCGAACUCCUGACCUCAGAUGAUCCACCCACCUCGGCCUCCCAAAGUGCUGGGAUUACAGGACACAUAUUGAAGGAAAUGUGGAUAUUGGAGAUUUGACCUGGGAGCAGAAGGAAAAAGUAUUGCGAUUGCUCUUUGCAAAAAUGAAUGGCUGUCCUUCUAGGAAAUACAACCAGAGUUCUAGGCCUCCAGUUCCAGACUAUGUUGUUUCUGACAGUGGGGAAACAAAGGAAUUUGGGGAUGAAAGUAAGCUUCAAGAUAAAAUCUUCAUCACCCAGCAAAUUCCAAUAUCAGACUCUUCUGGUAAAGUGGUGCUACCCAGUAUUCCAAAAGAACCUCAAGAGUCUGACACAGGAACCUUCUGAGAAGCACUGAUUAUGACCUCACAGAUGCUGCUGGCAGUCCCUUCCUUGCAGAAUCCUUGCUCCUGAAUAUCUUUAAGAAAAUUUCUUAAAGGAAAAGACAAAAAAUUUAACUCAAAAGUUACCUGUUUGCCAUAGAAAUUGGUGUCUCCCCUGAAGGAGGAUCGAGAGCCGGUGAAUGAGAACAUUGGCAAAGGCACUGGAAUGGGGACAUUCACUCCCACCUAAAACAGAACAAAUCCGUGUCAUAUCCUAAGGACAAAGGAACUCUCCAUUUAGAAACACAAAGGCAUCAGAGACCAGUUUUAAAUACCCACCUUCUACCCUAUCCUCUACCCCAUGAACUUUCAUUCCUGAGGAAGAAAUGGGGCAAUGUGGGAGGUCAUGGGGGCAAUCUUAAACCAAUGACUCACCAUUAUUUACUGUUUCCUCUUAGGAAAUAGUAAAUGGAUAUAAGAAUCUCUUAAAAAUAAUGUUCACGAACCUGUCCAACAUCCACCAAGUGGGCAUAUUUCCGAGCAGUGGCUCCAUUGGUGGUGAAGAUGGCAGUUCCAUUUCCAUAUGGGUUGUUAUUUACAAUCUGGAUGGCUUCAUCCAAUGUUUCUGUCUCCAGAACCACAAGAACUGGACCAAAAAUCUCCUCUUUGUAACAGGUCAUAUUUGGCUGCCAGGAGUGAUGCAUCCAGAAAAGAAGUCAGCUUUUUGGAUUCUGAGUAUUUUAUGCUUAUUUGGUACUUUCACUUACUACACAUCAUUUACGUGGACAACUUUCAUAUUACUAAUCUCUUUUCAUUUCAAAUCACCUAUUUUAAAAAAAAGUCCUCUCUCAAGUGUAUUCCAUCUUCCAAGUUACCAAUCAUAUAAACAAUUUGGAAUUCCUAUCAACAAUAACCACACUUCCUUUAAGGGACUGUAUCUUUAGUUCAUGACCCAUCAUCAGCUGCCUUUUUAAUACCUGAACGACUAGUUUCAUCCAAUUGUUAUCAAAAAGUUACAUGAAAAUUUAUUUUUUAUAAAUCCAAUCUAUAGUAAAUAUACCAGGAUAAUUUUUCUCUUUACAGAAACCCCAUGCUGUUUUCUGUAACAUAAACAAUCCAUUCUUAUUCACUCCUUUGCCUCCCAAAUAUGUCUGUAUGUUUAUAUUUUGAUAUCAGGUCGCAGACACUCAAAACAUCCUUCACCACGCAAUUAAUGUUUGUUGCUGAUAAACGGAUUUUUCUGUA